rnacentral:misc_RNA from 1 species
UUUGUUACUUCAUUGCGCUUCACUCCUAAAUGUUUCAGUAAUGCAUCUUCAAUAUCUCGUGAACCACGGAUCAUACAAGGUGUUGUGCCACAAACCAGUAGGUGGUACUUGCCCACUGGUGACCGGUUGAACAUUGAAUAAAAUGUUGCAACUUCAUAAACACGUAUAGGAGCAACUUCAAUAAUCUUAGCUACCGCAUCCAUUGCUGACACAGGAAGCCAACCCCGAUGCUGCUGCUGUGCAAGAUCUAGCAGAGGAAUGACUGCUGAUUGCUUGUAGUUGG